CAGGGCAGGCAGUUUGUAUCGGGCAUCAGGGGUCCCUGUGUACAGAGCUGUCUUCGCAUUUUAGGCGCCAGUGACUAAGAGGAGCUAUUCAAGCUUCCAGGGGAGUCACAGGCAUCUGUGUCCCAAAGGACGGUCCACAUCCACCUCGACCUACAAGUGCCUAGAGACUUCUCUUCGCUUCAUGCCUCCUCAAGGCCCCUGGGGACAGGAAGAGUGGUGGAGGGAGGGCGGUCCUGGUGGACAUGAUGUCUCACCUCGCUUAUGACCCCGAGGAAGCGUCAGCGGUCCCCUGGUGAUGAAAACGGUGGAUUCGGAAGAAAAGGAGGAAAGAGCAGAGGAAAGAGGGGCCGAGGACAAGACCGGGUUCCAGAUCCAGGACCCACCUCUGCGAGGCCCCCACUGCAGUCUCCAGCCUCUGGUCUCAGCUUCUCAGGUGUUCCUGGAGGAUGUGCACACAUUUGGGGACCAUCCUUCCACCCCUCAAACUGCAGUGUCUGGACACUUCUGUCCUCUCAGCCCUAAAAGAGGUUGCUCAGAGGGGCCUGGCCCAGGAACAGACGCGGGGUUUCCUACACGAGCAGAAGGGGAAAUCUGCCCUGAGGAGCCAAGUCAGACCUAGACCCUCCUGACCGUUUCUCUGAACCGGUGUCACCCUGUAAGCAGGAGGACACCCCACAGAGGCUCCCGGGACAGCAGGGCUGGGGGCAGCAGCCAGGAAACCACAGGCCUCACACGAAGCUUGUGGACAGAUUUGUUCACCUCUGAACUUGAAAACCACAAGACCCAUCUUGGACUGGGUACCAUGUUAAUAAACCCAGAAAGUCAGAUUCCCGGGAGCACAGUCACACGUUUCCUUCAGCUGCUUUCACGGGAUACACAGAGAACCUGUAACCACCUCGUAAAGGGAGCUCGGCCACUGUGUCCUUCAGUGGGACAUAAAAAGAUGGUAGCUUUCUAGACCUCAAACAUUAGCCUUGUGAAUUCUCCAGAAAUGCUCCGAACGCCCAUAAUGCUGGGAAAACAACUGCAGAUAUUUUUUACGGCAACUCCAUCCUCCUUCCAAGUCUUAAAGCCACUGGGACCCCUGCCCUGCCAGUCGCUCACAGACCGCAGCUCUUUCAUGAUGGAAGGACUUUCUUUUUAUUGCACCUUGGUUGACCAGUUUGAGCUAGGGUCCAUUCAAACGUCACGGUAAAAUCCUGAAAGGUGAGGCGCAAAAGCAGCCCAGGCAGCGGAGAGAGAGGCUCUGUGGGAGCAGCUGGGGUUUAGUUUCACGCCAGCGAAUAUGGCCCCAGAACCCAAGACCCUUCCUGGGAGUCUUUACACAACACCCAGCAGCCAAUGGGAAGUGGGUCUGGUCUGCACCUCUGCCACUUACAGGACCUCAGUCCAGUAGUGACCUUCUCGAA